AAUCAUCUAGUUCGCGAUCCGCAUUCCGACUCUGUGCGCAGCUUUCAAAAAAAAUGGCAGAGCGAUCUAGGUACCAUGAAUAUGUUGUGAUCGGGCGCAGAAAGCCGACUGAGACCCUCGUGAAUCCCCCGGUAUAUCGUAUGCGGAUAUUUGCACCCAAUUCAGUCAUAGCUCGCUCUCGAUUCUGGAAAUUUAUGAACACGAUGAAGAAGCUGAAAAAGAGCAGUGGUGAAAUUUUGGCAUUCCGUGAAAUUAAGGAGAAAAAGCUUCGAGCUAGAAAUUACGCCAUCUGGCUGCGUUAUACUUCAAGAAAUGGGGUUCAUAAUAUGUACAAGGAAUUCCGUGACGUAUCCAGAGUUGGUGCUGUUCAAAGACUUUACCAGGACAUGGCCAGUCGACACUCUGCAAGAGCCGUCAGCAUUCAAAUUCUUGACAUCAAAGAGAUUCCCGACUCUGAGGUCAGACGAAACUCUGUCAAACAGAUGCUAGGUCCGAAACUCAAAUUCCCGUUACCACAUCGUAUCCUCCGCAGUUCAUUCAACUGCGGUACGGGCAAUUUCAGGCGCUCUCGUCCCAGAACAUGUUACAAUUAAAUCCUAAAUUUUUAUGUAACUAAAAAAA